UACGUAGGGUGCGAGCGUUGUCCGGAAUUAUUGGGCGUAAAGGGCUCGUAGGCGGUUUGUCGCGUCGGGGGUGAAAACACUGGGCUUAACCGAGUGCUUGCUUUCGAUACGGGCAGACUUGAGGCAUUGAGGGGAGAACGGAAUUCCUGGUGUAGCGGUGAAAUGCGCAGAUAUCAGGAGGAACACCGGUGGCGAAGGCGGUUCUCUGGCAAUGUUCUGACGCUGAGGAGCGAAAGUGUGGGGAGCGAACG
rnacentral:rRNA from 1 species